rnacentral:rRNA from 1 species
CGAAAGUUACGCUAAUACCGCAUAUUCUGUGAGCAGGAAAGCAGGGGAUCGCAAGACCUUGCGCUCUUUGAGCGGCCGAUGUCAGAUUAGCUAGUUGGUGAGGUAACGGCUUACCAAGGCGACGAUCUGUAGCGGGUCUGAGAGGAUGAUCCGCCACACUGGAACUGAGACACGGUCCAGACUCCUACGGGAGGCAGCAGUGGGGGAAUUUUUGGACAAUGGGGGCAACCCUGAUCCAGCCAUGCCGCGUGAGUGAAGAAGGCCUUCGGGUUGUAAAGCUCUUUCGGCCGGGAAGAAAUCGCAUGGGUUAAUACCCUGUGUGGAUGACGGUACCGGCAUAAGAAGCACCGGCUAACUACGUG